ensembl:lncRNA
AUGCCAAUUAGGCCCUAAUCUGAUUUCUGUUCUAUCUCUGCGAACCCCAUUAAAACCCAAUUCUGCUUAUUAACAACAGCUUUCUCGCUUCGCAGUGCCUCGCCCUCUCAGGGUUGCUCCGGCGCUGUGAGGAUCGGGGCUCCGCGCGCCGGGCCGCAGGGGACCCCCUUCUCCGGGGCCGCCGCGCCAGCCCCUCCGCCCCCGGAUGCGCCACCUCCCCACGUNNACAGCCCCACCUCCCCGCGUUGUCCAGGCCGGGGUCGGGACCCAGGCCCGGCGCCCCCGCCGAGUCACGGGACCCCUUCUUCGGGAACAAUGGGAUCGUAGAAAGCUGGAACUGGGCGUUGUUGGGAACUCGGAGGUCAUCAAGCCCCGCCUCCCACGCCCUGCAGGAAUUCCCUAGACGCUGGGCGAUCCUCAGGCUGUUCCCGGUACGGGGAGCUCACUCCCUCUCUCAAGGAAACCUGGUCGGCUUCAAGUUCCCGGCGCCUUCGCUGUGUGACAUUAAUCAGAGCUCUGGACCUCUCCGGUCCGAAGUAGCUUCAUCUGUACCCCGGGGGCGCGAUGAUAAUGCUUGCCUCCUGAGAUUGUUGAAGGAUAAGAAGACACCGGCAAAGCGUAAGAGCGCCAGAGUGAGGCAGCUGUAAGGAGCAGCACUACGGAUCCAUCUAGAGGGGCCCAAAGGAAAUCAGCAUGCCAGAACACAGAGACUCUUCACAGACUCGCACUCCUGGAGGUAGCAGUGAGCAGAACCUCCUGGUUCUGCAUGAGGCCACAAGUAAGUUCAAAUUCAAAAAGAUAUGUAUUGAGCUGUGUAAUACUUAGGAUUGCAAGACAUAGAACCUAACUCAGACUGGCUUAAACCCAAAAGUGAAUGUAUUAGCUCAUAUAACUAGAAAGUUCAUGGGGGCAAUGGCUUCAGGCAUGGCUGGAUCAAGGGGCUCAAAUGGUCAGAACACAAUCACUGCAUGUUUGUUUUCUUCUGUGUUGGCUUUAUUCUUAGGCAGAUUCUCCCUCCCUUUAUAUAAAGAGAUCCACCAGCAGCGCCAUGUUUAAAAUUUGACCACUGAGAAACCCAGCAGAAAGAUUUCCCUCCAUCCCAAUAAUUCCACCAGCAUCCCUGAAGUUAGCUCUGAUGAUCUAAAGCUUGAGUCCUGUGCAUAUCCAGGAAGUAGUCCCUACAGUCAGGAGUGUGAGUCUCCAGGAUCAGUCCCAGGUCACAAGCUCACCUCCAAAGUGUGGGAAUGACGGUGAGCCCUGAACCUUUACAGAGAAGAGAGAGAGGGCUGCUGNNNNNNNNNNNNNNNNNNNNNNNNNNNNNNNNNNNNNNNNNNNNNNNNNNNNNNNNNNNNNNNNNNNNNNNNNNNNNNNNNNNNNNNNNNNNNNNNNNNUUUACAGAGAAGAGAGAGAGGGCUGCUGUGGCCAGAAGGUAAGGGGGCAGGCUGAGGCAGGUGAAACAGACGCACUGAAACCACCCUGGGACACCACGAACUGGGCUGGGCAUGCUCAUCACAUGACAGUGAGCACAACAAGUGUAUCAUUCCUGCUUCAUGAGGCUCAGAGGCUCGACGCUGUAGCCAGCACCUUAUUUCCAGGUGAGGAAACAGCCUUCCUUGCCCAGAGGCAUCCUGCCGUCGGGUAUCACAGCCAGGACUUGAAGUCAGAUCUGUCUAACUCCAGGACCACAGCUUGCUGCUGUCCCAGAGGAACCCGUCCAUGCUGGUGAGCCCCAUGAAACCUCUUCAGCGCUUUGUUCCGUUCUCUUAACUCGCAGACCCAGUCAGCAAGUUCUUUAUUUCCACAAAUGGUGCUGUUAAACUAAUGGCUCUGGGACCUAGAGGCUGGCCUCUGAGCAGUGAAGCCUUCCCCACAUUCUGCCUUGCAAAGAAUUCGUUAGAAAGUCCAGGAGCCAAGGCCCAUGUGGAAACGUUUGGUGGCCGCCAUUUUGCUUCAGGAAGGCAAACGUGAGCACCUUAUACAACCUCUUGCCCAGCGUUAAAGGCAGCCGGCGGCCGGGGUCGGUCAUCUCCUAGAAAGGCCCCUUGUAAAGGGCGGUGGCGGACCUCAUCAGGCUGAAAAAUGCUAAGAAGCCAGGGUUGAAAUAGAGGCCUCUUUCUGUUUGGUCAAUAAGCAGCUGUGAAGGAUGCGUAGGACGGAGCUAAAUUUAUUUGUUCCUUUCUGUCUCNNNNNNNNNNNNNNNNNNNNNNNNNUGCAGCUGUCUCACUCUCCCGUGAGCCUUCUGCAGGCACCAGCGUGCACAGAGGUUGGCCCUCCAGGACGCAAUUCCCCCCUGCCUCUGGUUGGUUCCCUUCCUGCUGCAGGCAGGAUUUCCAGGGCCUCUCGCCAGUCGGGAGAACUGAGGAGCUGCCUCCCAGGCCCUGGGUGGAAUCAUCUACCUUUUUAAAAACAGACGGGCUGCUGAACAGAGAUACCCUGGCCCUUGCGGCCACACCCUGGAAAACCACACAAGUCCUGACCGCCUCUGCUUUCACUGCUCAGACCUGUGGGAAACUUGUAAGACACAGCCUUGUGGGGAGCGGGCGGGGGCGCCGCGGGAGGGGCCCUUCCACCGACACAGCCCAGGCGGGCUUGGCAGAGUCCUUUCUGGAAUCCAUCUGCCUUUGCAAAGCCUAGCUGAGGGCCACCUUCAGCCGGGGCCUUGAGCAUACUGGUCGAAGUGGGUUGGUUUUUUGUUGUGUGUGUGUGUGUUUUUUUUUUUUAAAGAAGUGCUUUGUUGAGUCUUUCAGAAGGUCCCUGCGGGUGGGGAAGUGAAAGGAGGAGGGGAUGCCGGGGGAAGAAACUGCUUCUUUAUUUCUAGCCUUGCCUGAACGGCUUCUUGACGGUUACUGCUACGGUUCUGCUGAGUCAGAUGCACACCCCCCCAGCUGCUCACCGGAAACACAGCUGUGAGGCGAAAAUAACCACAGGGCCCGGCAUGGAGCACCGUGCGCCUUCCAGAAAAGAGGGCAGAAAACCUCAAAACAGAAGAGAAAAAUACAAAACAACAACAACAAAGAAAAAGCCACCCGUCAAAAACCCACCGCGGCUCGCUCACCUGGCCAGGCCUGUGGCGCUCUCCUUGGCGGUCACAGCUCAGAGACGGGAGACAGAGAGCCGGAGAGCCGAGUGUGGCGGCUCUUCCACUGUAGCAGGUUAACUAGGGAGGCCCCCUUCCCUCCCCUGCAAAUGUGAGAUGUCUGUAUCUUAACCACCACGACCUGUGAAUGUGAUCUUACUUGGAAGAGGGGUCUUUUCAUGUGUGACAAAUUUAAAGAUCUCAAGAUGAGGUCAUCUUGGAUUGCCUCAGUGGGCUCUACAUCCAGCGACGGGGGUCCUUACAGGCUGAGGGCGAGGAGAGAGACCCUCGGGGAGAACACACUGCAGACACUGAUGGGAGGGCCAGGGGAAGAUGGGGAAGGCGAGUCCUGAUGCAGCUGCUAGCCAAGGAGCACCAAGGAUCUGGCGCGGAAGCCGUGGGAAACUGACAAAGCCACCAUGGCGCCCGCUUGCCAGGUGUUCUGCUUGCCACCCUUCUCCCUUUGUCUGGACUUGAAACACUCAUAGCAUCUUGGUUGCAAGGUGUCUUACACAGAUAUUGAGGUUCCCUUUUUUCUGGGCUUAGUAAUUAUCAGGAGGUAGGGUGGUGCCCCAAGGACUCCAGGAUCUAGGGAGCAGCUGGGGUCCCCAGUUCUAGAUAAGACUCUGCCACAGACAGAGACACAGCUGUGUGACCUCAUUAACCAGCCACCAUUCACUGACAGAGCUGAGCAUGGUAUGGUAGAAAAUGGGUUCUACGUUUGAUUGCUGGCUCUGCCACUUACUAGCUGUGUGGCCUGGGGUAAGCUACUUAACUUUUCUGGGCCUCCGUUUCCUCACUGAUUCAAUGGGGGAGCUGUCCUGUUAUACACUGGGGAUCUAUCGGUACCAUGGAGAGAUGACCUGAAAAUGAUCCUGCUAUUAAACAUACAGAGAGGUGUUGAAAAGAACAGUCACUGUUAGUACUGAACAGAGUUUCUAAGGAAAUCAGGGUAAUUCCUGGGUAUGUGAAUAUGAAUGUGAAGUUGCUCAGUCGUGUCCGACUCUGUGCGACCCCGUGGACUGUAGCCCACCAGGCUCCUGCGUCCAUGGGAUUCUCCAGGCAAGAGUACUGGAGUGGGUUGCCAUUUAAUUCCAAAAUAAAGAAGGAAAGAAAGCCCAAAGCUGAUAGCACAAUACCUACAGUGCCUGGGGACAGGAGGCACGACCUUGGGUCACAACAAGGCUGGGAGCUGGAACUAGAAAACUGUCAUAAGACUGGUCUUUCAUGAGCUUCCACUCUGACACGGUUGUAAGGAUUAUGUGAGUUUGUACCUUCAAAGCUAUAUUUGGAUGAGGCUGUACUUGACAGCUCUUUUAAUGCCUGUUGUUUUUGGCAGUUCAGUAAUUAUGACACUGUAUUUUGGUGACAGCAUCCCAGUUUAUCUUUGGGAGAUCAUCUCUCUUCCACCACCUUGGUAGGAGGAUAUGCAACUCAGACCUGGCCCAUCAGAGUCAGGGAUUAUUCACAGAUGGAUGUGCAAUCCAAAAUGGGCUGAUCAGAGUGAAUGAUAUCUGAAAAUAUUGGGAAAGAGAAAAAUUCAGUCUCUCUUGGAUCUGCAUGUGAGCGGUGUCUAAGCUGGGGGCUGCCGGAGGACGUCUCUGCCACUAUCUGGGAAGAACCUGCCAGAGGAUGGUGCCAAAACCAAAGAAAGGAAAGAUGAGAGGGAGAGAAGUUCCCAGUGAUACUGUCUGAGUCCCUGGAUCCAGCAGAGCCUGAGACUAUCAGCACCUCCAAACUUCUGGGCUCCUUCCCUCAGUCAGUCAGUCAGUUCAGUCGCUCAGUCGUGUCUGACUCUUUGUGA